rnacentral:rRNA from 1 species
UACGUAGGGGGCAAGCGUUGGCCGGAAUCAUUGGGCGUAAAGCGCGCGUAGGCGGCCCCAUAAGUCCGUUGUGAAAGUCAAAGGCUCAACCUUUGAAAGCCGGUGGAUACUGUGGGACUAGAGUACGGAAGAGGCGAGUGGAAUUCCUGGUGUAGCGGUGGAAUGCGCAGAUAUCAGGAGGAACACCAAUAGCGAAGGCAGCUCGCUGGGACGUUACUGACACUGAGGCGCGAAAGCGUGGGGAGCGAACAGG